CCUACGGGGGGCAGCAGUGGGGAAUAUUGGACAAUGGGGGGAACCCUGAUCCAGCCAUGCCGCGUGUGUGAAGAAGGCCCUCGGGUUGUAAAGCACUUUCAGUGAGGAAGAACGCCUGGUGGUUAAUACCCAUCAGGAAAGACAUCACCCACAGAAGAAGCACCGGCUAACUCCGUGCCAGCAGCCGCGGUAAUACGGAGGGUGCGAGCGUUAAUCGGAAUUACUGGGCGUAAAGCGCGCGUAGGUGGCUUGAUAAGCCGGUUGUGAAAGCCCCGGGCUCAACCUGGGAACGGCAUCCGGAACUGUCAAGCUAGAGUGCAGGAGAGGAAGGUAGAAUUCCCGGUGUAGCGGUGAAAUGCGUAGAGAUCGGGAGGAAUACCAGUGGCGAAGGCGGCCUUCUGGACUGACACUGACACUGAGGUGCGAAAGCGUGGGUAGCAAACAGGAUUAGAUACCCUGGUAGUC
rnacentral:rRNA from 1 species